AGUGCCUGAUGGGUUUGAACUUAUGACCUUUUGGUUAGCAGGCCAAAUGCUUGCUUACCACUGCCACCAAGCCACUCUCACAAACACUGUAGGAGUCUUAAUACUGAAUUCUAAUUAAACUUUACCUUUACUGUCUUAGAUAGGUUACUGUCACACGGCUGAAUGUAACAUAGUCUUCUCUCUUUCCUCAUUUCACAGUUGCUAUUUUCAUUGGUUACCCUGUUGGAUAUCCCCAGCCCACAUGUUCUGGAACAAGGUGUCCACUUUGUUGCCUGCACAAGACAUUUUCUUUUCCGGAUAAGAGGGAGAUUCCUGUCUUGAAACUGCACAUAGAACUGAGAAGAGGAAGCAGAAACUGUGAAGACAAUUUAGGGGCCGUGAAUGAUUGAAUGUGGCUCUUCUAGUCAAAGUCUCCACUCCCACUAAACGACCUUUGCAUGCGUGGAGAUGGUAAGAAGGUGCGGGAAGAUACUGAUAGGAUUCACCUGGGAGUAAUUUUGAACAGAAUUCUCUAGCGUGGCAUCCAGCUGUGUAUAAAAUGAGCUCUCUGAGAAGCAAGGGGAGGGAUCUUAUUACCAGUAUGAGCCAGGAGGAGAGCAUGUCAUCUGGAUCCGAGAGUCCUGCGCAGUGAACCCUCUGGGUCCAGAAGACAGAUAUAACAUCCGAGUAGCAGCAGCAGAACCAGGAGCCAGAACAAGGAACAGCGGUGGACAUCCUAACCCAGAAGGCGCCUUUGGAGCCUGCCUGCGUCUGUGUCCAGGAAGAACAAUCUCGGCCGGUACCUGCUUUCCAAACAAUACCAGCAGUGAGUGUCCUGCUCUGGAGGUAAUCACACAGCACUGUGAGGGAGCUUUUGGCAAU